rnacentral:lncRNA from 1 species
GGCGAAUAAGAAACAGAGGAAGGAGAUCCUGCGGGAGACGAAGAUGGGGAUCCGGCGGAAGAAGAUUUUGGUGCCAUUGAUCCUGACGGUGAAUAACCCGGUGCAUACGACGGAGGAGCUGGCGGAGAAGUCACCGGAGAAGUUGCCGGAGAAACAGGGGAAGAUGAUUUAGGUGACAUUGAUCCCGGCGGUGAAGAACCCGGUGCAUACGACGGAGGAGCUGGCGGAGAAGUUGCCGGAGAACCAGCGGAGGAAGAUUUAGGUGGCAUUGAACCCGGCGGAGAAGUCACCGGAGAAGACGACGGAGAACCAGGGGAAGAUGAUUUAGGUGACAUUGAUCCCGGCGGAGAAGAUGACGGAGAACCAGGGAAUGAGGAUUUAGGUGGCAUUGAUCCCGGCGGAGAAGUCAUCGGAGCAGAGGACGGAGAACCAGGGGAAGAGGAUUUAGGUGGCAUAGGUGCGGGUGGAGAAGUCGACGGAGACAUAUGAGAGGAAGAUUUAGGUGCCAUUGAACCUGGUGGAGAAGUUGCCGGAGACUUAGCGGAGGAUGAUUUAGGUGGCAUUGAUCCCGGCGGAGAAGUCACUGGAGAAGAAGACGGAGAAACAGGGGAAGAUGAUUUAGGUGGUGUAUGUGCCGGUGGAGACGUCGCCGGAGAAACAGGGGAUGAAGAUGAUUUAGGUGGCAUUGUUCCCGGUGGAGAAGUCACCGGAGAAACAGGGGAAGUAGAUUUAGGUGGCAUAGGUGCCGGUGGAGAAGUCGCCGGAGAAACAUGGGAAGAAGACUUAGGUGGCAUUGAUCCCGGCGGAGAAGUCACCGGAGCAGAAGACGGAGAAACAGGGGAAGAAGAUUUAGGUGGCGUAGGUGCGGGUGGAGAAGUCGCCGGAGAAACAGGGGAAGAGGAUUUAGGUGGUGUGUGUGCGGGUGGAGAAGUGGCCGGAGAAACAUGGGAAGAAGACUUAGGUGGAAUUGAUCCCGGAGGAGAUUUUCCCGGUGAUGCUGCUUGAGGAGGAGCCGGAGUUCUAACGGACAAGACAACGACAGUAAGCUUUUGUCCCUUCUUACAGUUAUCUUCAUUGCCACUGAUGAAGUAAAAUGGACCAGAGCGUUC